rnacentral:rRNA from 1 species
GGAAUAUUGGUCAAUGGGCGAGAGCCUGAACCAGCCAAGUAGCGUGCAGGAUGACGGCCCUAUGGGUUGUAAACUGCUUUUAUGCGGGGAUAAAGUGCGGCACGUGUGCCGUUUUGUAGGUACCGCAUGAAUAAGGACCGGCUAAUUCCGUGCCAGCAGCCGCGGUAAUACGGAAGGUCCGGGCGUUAUCCGGAUUUAUUGGGUUUAAAGGGAGCGCAGGCUGAUGAUUAAGCGUGACGUGAAAUGUAGCCGCUCAACGGCUGAACUGCGUCGCGAACUGGUUAUCUUGAGUGAGUUCGAUGUUGGCGGAAUUCGUGGUGUAGCGGUGGAAUGCUUAGAUAUCACGAAGAACUCCGAUUGCGAAGGCAGCUUUCCAGUCCUUAACUGACGCUAAAGCUCGAAAGUGCGGGUAUCGAACA